rnacentral:lncRNA from 1 species
UUAAAAUUCAUUCAUAUUAUUGUUUUGAAUCUUAUAAUAAGAAGUUUAUUGAUCAAUCAGAUUUCUGCUAUAUUAAUAAUGCUUCUCUUGGAACUAUCAUGCUCUCGCAGUCACAGGUCAUCAACAGGGCCCAAUCGAUGUUUUUGAACACUGCAAGAUAACUAAAUUCUAAAAAUUGAACUUGCAUAGAUAGAAAAACAGAAGGACCAACAACAGGCGACAAAGAGUGCAGGACCAACAACACGAGUUGCUACAACUUUCAUGUUGGCAAACGAGCAAGCAUAACAAUUAACAAAAACAGACGAGCACACAUCGGCGAUAAGAAAGUAAUGAUCUGGAUGACUCCAUUUCCUCCGGGUUCAGAAGACGAGCACACAUCGGUGUGUUUGGUAGCCCGCAUAGAGUCCAACCAGGCCUGCGCGGGAAGAAAAUGGACUGUUUGUUUUCCUACGUUCACUGUUGAGCCUGCAUCGCACGGAACAUAAAGUAGCUCCCAGCCAGGACAGCUAGGAACGUCCAAAUCGGCAGGUUUUUCAGAGCCAGGCCCGCGGCAGCGGCGGCUGCACACGAGGAGCCAUGCUUGAGAAGUCGCCUUGUUUCCCGAAACGCAAGCAAUAAUUAUCCUCAUCUUUCCUCACCGCUCUCUCUCCACUCUCACACCGGCGGCGGCGGCGAUCAGCAGAUCGGAGAUCAGCAAGGCAACCACCGUCCGGACUUCACCGGCGUCAGCAACAUCACCCGCAGCACUUCGGCAAUGGUGGUAAGCCGUAUUUUCACCUCCUAACCUGCUAUUUCGCAUUCGAUCCGCGUUUAGAUUCGAUCCGCGUCCUAGGGGAAUGGGGAAUCGGGGUGAAUAACGAUAAGAUUGAUCAUAACUUGACAAUGUAUACUAAGUAGUCAUGGAUUUUAGGGUUUCGAUCCGGAUUGAGUACAAGGGGAAUGGGGAUUGGGGGUUAAUCUUACACAGUAGCUUAAAUCUUAGCCCCGGCGACCCUGGAGGCGGUUGGAGCAGCGGGGACCAUUGGCCUUGUUCUUGUCCUCCUGCUUGACCACUGUCUCGUCGUCAUCACCAGAGUCCAGAUCGAUUGGCAAAGUAAGGUGGCCUGGAUCCGGCGCCCGACGCCCUGACCACCAUCUCCAUCACUUCUUCUUCCUCCUCUGGCUCCGAAGGAGGAAAAAGAAGCGGUGGGGAUGGUUGUCAGGGUGCCGAAGUCAGGCCACCGUACUUUGCCAAUCAAUCUAGACUUCGGCGAGGACGACGAAACAAUGGUCCAGCCGGAGGACAAGAACAAGGUCAAGGGCUCCCGCCGCUCCAAAGGGUCGCUGAGGCUAAGAUUUGAAACUACUGUAUAAGAUUAAUCCCGAAACUCCAUUCCCCUUGUACUCAAUCCGGAUCAGAACCCUAAAAUCCAUGGCUACUUAGUACUCACCGUUAAAUUAUAGUCAAUCCUAUGGCUAUCUACCCCGAUUCCCCAUUCCCCUACAACACAAAUCAAAUCUAAACGCGGAUCAAAUGCGAAAUAGUAGGUUAGGAGGUGAAAAUACGACUUACUGCCAUUGCCGAAGUGAUGUCAGUAAUGUUGCUAACACCGGUGAAGUCCGGCCUGUGGUCGCCUUGCUGAUCUCCGAUCCGCUGAUCUCCGCCGCUGCCGGUGUGAGAGUGGAAGAGUGGAGAGAGCGGUGAGGGAAGGUGAAGGUAAUUAUUACCGACGCUUCAAAAAACAACACGACUUCUCAAGCGUGGCUUCUCACGUGCAGCCGCCGCCGCCAACGUGCAUCCCGCGGGCCUGGCUCUGGAAAAACCUGCUGAUUUAGACGUUCCUAGCGGGCCUGGCUGGGAGCUGCUUUAAAUUCCAUGCGGUGCAGGCCCAAUAUAUAGUGAACUCAGGGAAUCAAACAGCACAUUUUCUCCUAGAGCGCGCCUGGUUGGCCUCUAUGUGGGCUACAAAACACGCCCCAUGCCUUGUGUUUCCGUCUAAACAAGCGGGGCAACCAAACAGGUCAUCUUUCGUUACGCCCCAUGUAGGCUAGAGGGUAUGCACUAUGCAGGCAAACAAACAACACGCGGGUGUUGGUUUUUUGCCUGUUUUCCCUCACCCAGGCUCAACUAGGUCAAGCGUGCAACACAGAUAAAAGUUGCUACGAGAACCAAACACACCCUUUGUUGCCCUUGCGGCAGAAGGAGCAUCCCUCAGUGAGCCUCGCCUUUCCUCCUGUAGGCCGGCAGAGCACCGUCUCCCAACCUGGGCACACCACCAUGGUCUGAGAGUGGCUGAACACGGUCGUUCUGUGAUCAAGACAGUAGAAAGUUGGAAACAUCAGUCAUCAAUUUUUUCUUUUUUCUUGGCGAAUGAAUAAGUUAACUGAACUUGGUUCAUGUAUAAGCAUCAAUAUAAAUCAGGGGCAGGCAAACAACAGACUAUCAAUGGAGGCAGAUCCAACAUUUGACGUGGAAUGAUCUUCAAAAGUAAAAUCAGUAAUCAGCUAGAAGCAUUAGCACAGGCAACCGACAAGAGCACAUCAUCAGCGAAGCACAACAAUAGUAAUACUACUAGAAGAUGCACAUGUUCCUAAAUCUACAGACCUUCUCAUACAUCAGCAUCUCGGCAAUCAAAAUUGCAUAAACAAACCUAAUCUUUAUCAAGACAUAGCAAUUUUUUUUAAAUCAAUUCCUCUGGUCCAUAGUACACUCCACCAUCAUAAUUUAUGUUGCUAUUGCGUAUGUACAGUAUUUGCUAGGAAGACAGGAGUAAAGCGGGGGGGAAGAUGAUGAACUCAUUUUGCAGCAGUUACAUGUUGAAGCAGCCCUGGGACUUGACAUCCUGCACGCAGAGACGAACGCAUCGUUAGGGGCCAGGCUAAGAGAGCAAUCAACCAUCAGAUUCUAUAAGCGAGAGCGACACGCACGUACCAUGAGGAAGUAGUCGGGGGACUGCACGAGGCGCUUCUUCUUGUGCUUGAGCUUCUCGAGCUUCUGCAGGACCUGCUCCGAUCCCCAAGCGAGAUCACGAGACAGAGAGAGAGAGAAUCAAGCUACGGCGUGCGAUCAGACGAUGGGAGCAAGCAUUCGAGAUCGACCGAAGGGGUCAGACGAGCGGCGGUGUUGGCGACGGAGAGGAUGCGAGCAGAGCACUGGGUGGCGGCGGGGGGUGGGAGGAGUGGAGGGCUAGGGCUGCGGCU